GCUCCGAGCCGGUAACUCACGGGAUGGGGGUCGGGAAGGGGCCCGGAUCCGCCCGGCAGCAUUCCGGGGAUCCUGUGCCACGGGUGCUGAUCCUGCUUUCUUUCCAUAGGGAAGAGGGAGGGCAACGGAUACGACCCCACACCCACCACAGGAAUCACGGCCUGAGCGAUCCUGGAGCUGGAUCCGCCCCUGUGGAAAGGCAGCAGCUGCUGGCAGAGCUCAUCCCGCUGCUCCCACCCAGCCCGGCCCCCCUGUGGCUCUUCCCGAUGGAUCAACUUCCUGCUUUUCCAUGUGUGAAACCCAGGAGCACAAUUAUUGCUGAGGCUUUAAUUGUGGUGUGAAAAUCUCCUGCUUUGGGCAGUAAAUCCUGGUUCCCUCCUC